rnacentral:sRNA from 1 species
GGUUUGAAGUAAAGACCACAGAGCAUUCGAAUAGAGCAGUCCUUCAAAGGUUAUCCGUUGAUACCCCGGUAGUGAACUUUCCCUUUAUCGCUUUAAAUCUGUAGUCCAGACCGUAACGCCGCAAGGCUCAUUUAUUUUUUUAAAGGUAAUUCACUAUGUCCGGUAAAAUGACUGGUAUCGUAAAAUGGUUCAACGCUGACAAAGGCUUUGGCUUCAUCACUCCUGACGAUGGUUCUAAAGACGUGUUCGUACACUUCUCUGCUAUCCAGAACGAUGGCUAUAAAUCUCUGGACGAAGGUCAGAAAGUUUCCUUCACCAUCGAAAGCGGCGCUAAAGGCCCGGCAGCUGGCAACGUAACCAGCCUGUAAGCUUAAAAAGCUCAAAAUUCUAAGUCCCUGCCAUACGGCGGGGAUUUUUU